UACGUAGGGGGCAAGCGUUGUCCGGAUUUAUUGGGCGUAAAGAGCGUGUAGGCGGCUUUACAGGUCCGUUGUGAAAACUCGAGGCUCAACCUCGAGACGCCGGUGGAAACCGUAAAGCUAGAGUCCGGAAGAGGAGAGUGGAAUUCCUGGUGUAGCGGUGAAAUGCGCAGAUAUCAGGAGGAACACCCGUGGCGAAAGCGGCUCUCUGGGACGGUACUGACGCUGAGGCGCGACAGCGUGGGGAGCAAACAGG
rnacentral:rRNA from 1 species